rnacentral:rRNA from 1 species
GUCAGGGCUUCGGUUCUGACGGGAGUGGCGCACGGGUGAGUAGCGCGUGGGAACCUGCCCUGUUGUGGGGGAUAACCGAGGGAAACUUCGGCUAAUACCGCAUACGCCGGACACUCUGAGAGGGGUGUUUGGGAAAGAUUUAUCGCAAUAGGAGGGGCCCGCGUCGGAUUAGCUAGUUGGUGGGGUAACGGCCUACCAAGGCAGUGAUCCGUAGUUGGUCUGAGAGGAUGAUCAGCCACACUGGGACUGAGACACGGCCCAGACUCCUACGGGAGGCAGCAGUAGGGAAUCUUCCGCAAUGGACGAAAGUCUGACGGAGCAACGCCGCGUGAGUGAUGAAGGCUUUCGGG